rnacentral:rRNA from 1 species
AACGAACGCUGGCGGCAUGCCUAACACAUGCAAGUCGAACGAAGGCUUCGGCCUUAGUGGCGCACGGGUGAGUAACGCGUGGGAAACUGCCUAUUGGUGGGGAAUAACGACGGGAAACCGUCGCUAAUACCGCAUAAGCCCUUCGGGGGAAAGAUUUAUCGCCGAUAGAUGUGCCCGCGUCCGAUUAGCUAGUUGGUGAGGUAAUGGCUCACCAAGGCGACGAUCGGUAGCUGGUCUGAGAGGAUGAUCAGCCACACUGGGACUGAGACACGGCCCAGACUCCUACGGGAGGCAGCAGUGGGGAAUAUUGGACAAUGGGCGAAAGCCUGAUCCAGCAAUGCCGCGUGAGUGAUGAAGGCCUUAGGGUUGUAAAGCUCUUUCGGGUGGGACGAUGAUGACGGUACCACCAGAAGAAGCCCCGGCUAACUUCGUGACAGCCGCCGCGGUAA